UAGGGAAUAUUGGGCAAUGGAUGCAAGUCUGACCCAGCCAUGCCGCGUGCCGGAUGAAGGCCCUCAGGGUUGUAAACGGCUUUUAUUCGGGAAGAAGAGCGAGGAUGCGUCCUUGUGUGACGGUACCGAAUGAAUAAGCACCGGCUAACUCCGUGCCAGCAGCCGCGGUAAUACGGAGGGUGCGAGCGUUGUCCGGAUUUAUUGGGUUUAAAGGGUGCGUAGGUGGCUAUUUAAGUCAGUGGUGAAAUACAGCCGCUCAACGGUUGAGGUGCCAUUGAUACUGAAUAGCUUGAAAGAAUUGGAGGCUGCCGGAAUGGAUGGUGUAGCGGUGAAAUGCAUAGAUAUCAUCCAGAACACCGAUUGCGAAGGCAGGUGGCUACGAUUUAUUUGACACUGAGGCACGAAAGCAUGGGGAGCAAACA
rnacentral:rRNA from 1 species